rnacentral:lncRNA from 1 species
UGGGCAAUUCACCUUUUCUUUAAAUACUCAUGUCACAUUUGUGCUGUUGCCAAUGCUUCUCAGACCCUCCAGAUGAGGUCUCCCAUUGGUUGAACCCACUGGAAGCCAGAGGUCGAGGGGACCACUGUUACAAUCCUUACAGGACAUUUCCCUGAGGAGGUGGCUAUGAUGGUAGAACUUACAAGACUUCAGUGGACAUAAGUACAAGUAUCACACAAAGACAUUCUGGAGAAUGGCAGAAAAGUGAGCGAAGCCAGAAAAACAACACUUCAAAAGGAAACAAUGCCAAGAAUACGUUAAUCUAAACCCAUGAUGUUUCUACAUCUCAAAGAACAGAGAGAAAAGGAAACUGGAGAGAGGCCAGAAGUGACCAACUCUAUUCCCUCAUUUCUGUGUUAUACUCCCUUUGUCUAAUCUUCCCUACCCUACCAGGUGGUUUAAGAAUUUUAUCCUUUCUCCAGACUAGAAGAGGAAGUGGGGGCCGGAAUUAGGUGUAUACAAAUUGUUGGAAAGCCUUUGUGUGGAUUUGGAGGGCUGAAGUAGAGUAUCAUUUUUACAAAGCAGCCCAAGCCUCUAAUCUGAGCAGGAAGAUUCACACUCAUUCUCUGGCAUGAGUCCUAUCAGGAGGAUCAAUGAAGCCAAGGCUGUAGAAAUAAAUAAUUAAUCUCUCCACCCAAGGAGGCUAGUAAACAAUAUUCAAUACGUGAAUACUGAGUUCUGCCAAGAGGAAGAAGCAUAUAAACCAGGCAACUGCUGAACGCAUUGCCAAAAAGGGAGACUUACGCAUCAUUCACUAAAGCUUUCCAAAAACUAAAUCAGAUCCAAGAACAGAUAAACUCCUGCAGAAUGACAAUGGUGGAGAAAUUGACCUCCCAGCAUUGCAGACUUACAUCAGUUGUUCUGAUGUUCUUAGUUAUAUCAGAUUCCUUCCAGAAUCUUCUAAAUAUAUCAGACGGUCAGACACAACCCCAGGCCCUAAUAAAAAACCCUGAUGCUGGC